CCUUUUAACUUUCCACAAUAGCAGAUGAAUAGGACGCUUCUGCCUCAGUGUGACCACGUUGCUUUCUCUUCUUCGUUUUCCUUCUUCUUCCCUCUUUCACCUUCCAAUUAGGGUUUUCUUCCAAACCCUUCUUCAUUCUUCUUACGCACUACACCGAAUCCCACCCAUUAUCCAACGCGGUUCAUGCGAUGGACAUGUCUGAUGCUGUCAUUGUCAAAUCUAGUAGGUUAAAAUCGGUGGUGUGGAAUGAUUUUGAUAGGAUUAAAAAAGGCGACACCUGUGUGGCUGUUUGUAGGCAUUGCAAAAAGAAACUUAGUGGUUCAAGUACCAGUGGAACAUCACAUUUAAGGAACCAUUUGAUUCGGUGUCAGAGAAGGUCUAGCCAUGGCAUAGCACAGUACAUUUCUACAAGAGAAAAGAGAAAGGAAGGAACCCUAGCAAUUGCAAAUUUCAAUAUAGAUCAAGAUGCAAACAAAGAUGACAAUACCCUUAGUCUUGUCAAUAUUAAAUUUGAGCAGACACAGUUGAAAGAUGACUCUGUCAACCCUGGGACUAGUAACUUUGAUCAAAGACGGAGUCGAUUUGACCUUGCUCGGAUGAUUAUUCUACAUGGAUAUCCAUUGGCUAUGGUUGAGCAUGUUGGUUUCAGAGCAUUUGUAAAAAAUCUGCAGCCAUUGUUUGAGCUUGUGUCAUUGAAUAGGGUUGAGGCUGAUUGUAUUGAGAUUUAUGAGAGAGAGAAAAAAAAAGUUAAUGAGAUGUUGGAUAAGUUGCCUGGGAAAAUCAGUCUUAGUGCUGAUGUGUGGAAUGCUGUGGGGGAUGCAGAGUAUUUGUGUUUGACAUCAAAUUACAUCGAUGAAUCCUGGCAGUUAAGAAGGAGGAUAUUAAAUUUUAUAAGGAUUGAUCCUUCUCAUACGGAAGACAUGGUUUCAGAAGCUAUCAUGAGUUGCCUAAUGUAUUGGGAUAUAGACCGUAAACUAUUUUCUAUGAUACUGGAUAGUUGCUCUACCUGUGAUAACAUUGCCGUUAGAAUUGGUGAUAGACUUCUGCAAAACAGGUUUCUUUAUUGUAAUGGGCAAUUAUUUGAUAUACGAUGUGCUGCAAAUGUUAUUAAUGCUAUGGUUCAGCAUGCUCUGGGAGCUGUAAGUGAAAUAGUCAUUAAGAUUCGUGAAACUAUUGGUUACAUUAAAAGUUCACAAAUUAUACUGGCAAAGUUCAAUGAGAUGGCUAAAGAAGUUGGGAUCCUGAGUCAAAAGGGCUUAUGUCUAGAUAAUGCAUCACAAUGGAAUUCCACAUACUCAAUGCUUGAAGUUGCCUUGGAAUUCAAGGAUGUUUUAAUUCUCUUGCAAGAAAAUGACACUGCCUACAAAGUCUGUUUAUCUGAUGUAGAGUGGGAGAGAAUCACAGCAGUUACCAGCUACUUGAAGCUUUUUGUUGAGGUUAUAAAUGUUUUCACUAAGAAUAAGUAUCCAACUGCAAACAUAUAUUUCCCUGAGCUCUGUGAUGUUAAGCUGCAUUUGAUUGAAUGGUGCAAGAAUUCAGAUGAGUAUAUCAGUUCUUUGGCGUCAAGAUUGAGAAGCAAGUUUGAUGAGUACUGGGAGAAAUGUAGUUUAGGGUUGGCAGUUGCUGCGAUGUUAGACCCUCGAUUCAAGAUGAAGUUGGUAGAUUAUUAUUAUCCACAAAUUUAUGGCAGCAUGUCUGGAAGUCGAAUUGAAGAGGUCUUUGAUGGUGUGAAAGCUCUAUACAAUGAACAUUCGAUAGGCUCCCCAUUAGCAUCUCACGAUCAAGGUCUGGCCUGGCAAGUUGGCAAUGGCCCACUUCUCUUACAAGGUUCUGCAAAGGAUUCAAGGGAUCGAUUGAUGGGGUUUGAUAAAUUUCUCCAUGAAACUUCACAGGGUGAAGGUACAAAAUCAGAUCUAGACAAGUAUUUGGAAGAACCCCUUUUUCCACGCAAUGUUGAUUUCAACAUACUGAACUGGUGGAGAGUUCACACCCCCAGAUAUCCUGUCUUAUCCAUGAUGGCACGCAAUGUUUUAGGAAUUCCAAUGGCAAAGGUUGCGCCUGAACUGGCCUUUAAUCACAGUGGAAGGGUCCUUGAUCGUGAUUGGAGCUCACUUAAUCCUGCUACUGUCCAAGCUUUGGUGUGUUCACAAGAUUGGAUAAGGAGUGAACUGGAAAAUUAGAUUGCUUUUUCCCUGCAUUCUAAUUGUACAUGCCAAUUCUCCCCAUAGAAAUAUUCCCAUAACAGAUACAAAUUCAUCAACAUUUUCCAAGUCCAACUUUACACGGACACAUUUUCGAUCUUUUGCUAGAUUGAACAAACCAACCCUUUUGCACGUUCCACCUUCGCGUUCACCAUCCAAAUCGAAGUCGCAUCUGUAGCCUCCACUGACGCACCCCAAAAUGUGAGCCAUCGUGGGCCCGAGAGCCACCACUGGUCUCCUCCGACAAGUUCCGUUCGUCGUUGCUGCCUUGAAGAUGCCAUCACUGGAGAUACUGUCACUGUUCAGCACGCCCAAUAAGAGAUGGGUUGCCCUCAAUGCUGCCGCACGACUCGCCACCCCUUCCUCUGUUUACUUUUUGCCUUUGUGUUGUGAGGAAGAUGGUGAUGACAGAAUAAGCACUGAAAUUGAAUUGCAAAAGCACAUCUUUAAGUUGAAUUGAUUGGGUUAAACAGUUUAAUAUUAAAAAAAUUAAAAGUACUUU